UUCAUGGCAUGAGCACGCUUUACUGACGCCACAACAGUACAAAUUCCGACGUUAAGAGUGUCUUAUGUGACGUCAUUUUAGUGUCUACUGACUGACUGACAGUAAACACAUUACUGUAUAGUGGUGCGAGGUGUUAAAAAGGAUAUUCCCCGAAAGGGGUCCGAA